rnacentral:rRNA from 1 species
GACGUAGGGCGCGAGCGUUGUCCGGAAUUACUGGGUGUAAAGCGCGUGUAGGCGGUCCGGUAAGUCCGCUGUGAAAGUCGGGGGGCUCAACCCUCGGAUGCCGGUGGAUACUGUCGGGCUUGAGUACGGAAGAGGCGAGUGGAAUUCCUGGUGUAGCGGUGAAAUGCGCAGAUAUCAGGAGGAACACCAAUUGCGAAGGCAGCUCGCUGGGACGUUACUGACGCUGAGACGCGAAAGCGUGGGGAGCGAACAGG